rnacentral:tRNA from 1 species
GGUGGGGUUCCCGAGCGGCCAAAGGGAGCAGACUGUAAAUCUGCCGUCAUCGACUUCGAAGGUUCGAAUCCUCCCCCCACCACCA